GCCCUGCAAUUGGAUCCUACACAAGUCAAUCCCACAUGUGGGUGGGCGGUGGACUCAGAGCUGCGCACCCAGUAAAGUAAAGGUUGUACAACAAAAGCUUGCGGGAAAGUUGCACAUGCCAGCGAACGCGAAUUAUACUUAACAGUUACACCUCUCGCUAAAAGUGAAAACACGUUUCAGACCCGUUCAGCUCAGUUUCAUUCAAGACGCAAUGAUGUCAUGCCUGUGGAUCUUCGUCCUUGGGAGUUUAAUCGUGACUGGAGUGAAGAUGCAAGACGAUGGAGUGGAAAGUGCAGAGAAUGCAGAUUCUCCAGCCGAUGACCUUGCGCCAGGGGACUCAACCGUUCCUGAUGAAGCUGCAGACGCUGAAAAACCAGCUGAAGUUCCUGCACCUGAGGAAACACCUGAGGAAACACCUGAAGAAACACCUGAGGAAACACCUGAAGAAACACCUGAAGAAACACCUGAGGAAACACCUGAAGAAACACCUGAGGAAACACCUGAAGAAACACCUGAAGAAACACCUGAGGAAACACCUGAGGAACCAGCGGAGGAGGCAACAGCUCCUGCAGAGCCUGAAGCUGAAGACACAAACCCUGACACAGACGCCGCGACAGAAGAUGCUGAAGAAACACCAGCAGGUGAUCUGAUCUAAACAAAAAGACAUUACACUCCACAAACAACACUGAGAAUAACGAUUCAGAACAGCCACAGAAACCUGAGAGAUCAGGAGUUUCUAUCAGAUAAUGUGUCCCAUUUAUUCUCAGCCCUGAAAUAUUUCAUAGCCAGAAGCGGCUCUUUUUGAACGCAAUCUUCAAUGAAAUGAUUUCAAAAAUCCUUCAAAUAUCCUGUGACCAUGAAGGCCUGGAAAAGUCAUAGAAAUUCAUCAGUCGGUGGGCUGGGAAGCCUGUAAUAAUCGUGUGGUUUUGACUAUGACUUAUUUUCCUCUCUGUUCCGUUUCGCUGAAAAAGCAGACGCAGCAGAUCAGACAUACUGGUCUGGCAACUAAAUGAGUUUAAACACUAAAAUUACUAACUGGAAAUAAAAACUGAAGUCACUAACUGGAAAUAAAAUAACAAAGUAUUAAAGGGGUCAUAUGAUGCUUUUUUAAAGAUCAUUAUUUUGUGUAUUUGGUGUAACAGAAUAUGCUGACAUGCUUUAACGUUCAAAAAACACAUUAU
rnacentral:lncRNA from 1 species